rnacentral:rRNA from 1 species
AACGAACGCUGGCGGCAGGCCUAACACAUGCAAGUCGAACGCCCUAGCAAUAGGGAGUGGCAGACGGGUGAGUAACACGUGGGAACCUUCCCUAUAGUACGGAAUAGCUCAGGGAAACUUGAAGUAAUACCGUAUACGCCCGAGAGGGGAAAGAUUUAUCGCUAUAGGAUGGGCCCGCGUCGGAUUAGCUAGUUGGUGAGGUAAUGGCUCACCAAGGCGACGAUCCGUAGCUGGUUUGAGAGAACGACCAGCCACACUGGGACUGAGACACGGCCCAGACUCCUACGGGAGGCAGCAGUGGGGAAUAUUGGACAAUGGGCGCAAGCCUGAUCCAGCCAUGCCGCGUGAGUGAUGAAGGCCUUAGGUUGUAAAGCUCUUUUAGCAGGGAAGAUAAUGACUGUACCUGCAGAAUAAGCUCCGGCUAACUUCGUGCCAGCAGCCGCGGU